UCAACAAGCGGAGGAAAAGAAACUAACAAGGAUUCCCCUAGUAACGGCGAGUGAAGAGGGAAGAGCCCAAGAUUGAAAGCUGGCGUCUUUGGCGUCCGCAUUGUAAUCUCAAGAAGUGUUUUCCGCUUCGGACCAUGCCUAAGUCCCUUGGAAAAGGGCAUCAUAGAGGGUGAUAAUCCCGUACAUGGCAUGGAGCGCCCGAAGCUUUGUGAUACACUUUCUAAGAGUCGAGUUGUUUGGGAAUGCAGGCUCAAAAUGGGUGGUAAAUGCCAUCUAAGGCUAAAUAUUGGGGAGAGACCGAUAGCGAACAAGUACAGUGAUGGAAAGAUGAAAAGAACUUUGAAAAGAGAGUUAAACAGUACGUGAAAUUGCCAAAAGGGAAGGGUAGGAGGUCAGAGAUGCGGUCUGGGAUUCAGCCUUGCUUUUGCUGGGUGUUUUUCUCAGAUUGCAGGCCAACGUCGGUUUUGGGCGCUGGAGAAGGGUGGAAGGAAUGUGGCACCUCUCGGGGUGUGUUAUAGCCUUCUACUGGAUACAGUGACCGAGACCGAGGACAGCAGCGUACUCGCAAGAGCGGGCCUUCGGGCACCUUUACGCUUAGGGCGUUGGCAUAAUGGCCCUCUACCACCCGUCUUGAAACAC
rnacentral:rRNA from 1 species